rnacentral:lncRNA from 1 species
UCCUUGUUUCAUGUGGUAUCUUUUCAUCGAUCUUGAUGAACAAGCAAUCUAUUUCCCUUCUUAAUGAUAUCAAAUUAGAACUUACAUGAAUUUUUGAGAUCUUCAAGCUCAAAAUCAACAAUCAAUUGGAGUGAAGCUAAUUGAAAUUGCAUCAUGUUAAUGGAUCUCCAACAAGUGACACGCUUCAUGUGGUGUCCUAUAUACAUGGAUAAAAUUAUUAUAAGAAAACAUGCAAG